rnacentral:lncRNA from 1 species
GAUGAACAAUGGAGCAGAGAGGUUUAGAAUAACCACCAGUGAUACUGCUAUUCAAUUAGACCUGAUAGCAAAAGUACAUGGAAUAUCAAGUGCUGAAGAAUACUUCAUAAAGUUGCCAGACACCUUAAAAGAUAAGCGGAUAUAUGGGUCUCUUUUAAAUGCGUUUGUGCGGUCUAGAAAGAAGGAACAAGCUGAAUCUUUACUUGAGAAAAUGAGAAACAGAGGCUACACUGAUCAUGCUCUUCCGUUCAAUGUGAUGAUGACACUCUAUAUGAACCUUAAAGACUACGACAAGGUUGAGUCAGUUGUUUCAGAAAUGAAAGAGAAACAAAUUCCAUUAGAUAUAUAUUCGUACAAUAUCUGGUUGUCAUCUUGUGGAUCUCAAGGAUCUAUAGAAAAAAUGGAAAAAGUACUUGAACAAAUGAAUCUGGACGCUGAUAUCAAUCCAAAUUGGACUACAUUUAGCACUAUGGCUACUAUGUACAUUAAGUUGGGGCAGUUGGAAAAAGCUGAAGAUUCUUUAAGAAAUGUUGAGAGCAGAAUCACAGGUCGUGAUCGAAUUCCAUAUCAUUAUCUCAUCAGUCUCUAUGGUAGUCUUGGUAAAAAGGAAGAGGUUCUCCGGAUCUGGAAAACCUACCAAUCGCAGUUUUCAAAUAUUCCAAACCUGGGUUAUCAUUCUGUAAUAUCUUCUCUGGUGAGGUUGGAUGAUAUUGAAGGUGCAGAAAAGAUAUAUGAUGAGUGGCUACCCAUUAAGGUGCACUAUGAUCCUAGAAUAGGAAAUCUGUUGUUGGGUUAUUAUGUGAGGAAGGGUUUUCUGGACAAGUCUAGUGCUUUCUUCGACCAAAUGAUUGAAGCUGGAGGAAAGCCAAACUCAAUGACAUAUGAGAUCCUUGCCGAAGGCCAUAUCAGGGAACGGAGAAUAUCUGAGGCUUUGUCAUGCUUGAAGGAUGCUGUUUCAACUGAGGGAUCCAAGAGCUGGAGACCAAAACCUGCAAAUGUAUCUUCCAUUCUCAGGCUUUGUGAGCAGGAAGAGGAUACACAAAGUAAAGAAGCCCUGUUGGAGGUGUUGAAGCAAGUUGGAUGUCUUGACGAUGAAAAGUACAUGUCAUAUAUUCCAUUAUCAAAUGGUACAUUUACCAGUACUGAGCCAGAUACAUCUGAUAAUGACGAAGGAUCUGACAUACUGCUCAACCAAUUGCAAGAAAGCUUGUAAAGACGCUAUUUUUCCAGGUACAUGCAUUGGGGAUAAUGCCUCGUGCAACUGGAUUUUUGGUGCGUGGAUACUCGAGUAAAGCAAAAGUCUUGUGUAGAGCUAAGAAGCAAGACAUUCAUGAUAGACUCAUAUCUACUGAUCUUUGUAUUUUUUUCUUAGGUUUAUGAAGAUCCAUGUCACUAUAUAUGUAGUAUAUUGAACAUCAAGUAGAAGUUUAUCAUUUUAGCUUUGCGAAUCAAUACACAUGUUUUACCAGAGGUGUCACAGAAGUGUGUUGCAGGUUUAUUUGUAAAUAUGAUGAAUUUUGCAUCAAUCUAUUUGAGGUUCAACUAGAAGAUUUCAUAUUCCUUAUACACUUAGUAUUAUCGAUUUUCUGUAAGUUGUCGAUAUUGUUUUAGAAACUUGGGCAAAUAGUGGUUUUGCUCCUUGAGUUAUUGACUUAUUCCAAUUCUGAUCCUUGUAUUAUUUGGCUACAGUAGUAAAGAAGAAGAAACAAAUAGAAAGGAGUGUAACUUGUUGCAGCUAUCAGUGUGUAACUUUAUUUUGAUGAUACUAUUCUCACUGUUAGUUAGGUGAGUGCAUUAGAGUGGAGGAGCCACAAUCUUACACAACAUGUUAAUUUUCUCAUACUAAUUGCUGCUCCGUACGUCUUCCGUUUUGAUUUUAUGUGGAUCCACGACCCAAAACAUGUAAUAAUUUCCUCAUCAAGGGGUGUUCUUUAAUUUGUAGUACGUAGUUUGUUUAUGUGGAGGACAGAAAUGGUUGCCAACAUAAAUAAGUAGGAACCCCAUCACCACAAAGAGGAACAAAUCAAGUUGGGAGUAUCAUGCCUAGUCCAAGCUUAAGCAUUAAAGCCCUAAGAUACGGAAACGUUGGUGAUGGCAUCUUUUUAGUAUCACUAGCAUAUGUAUUCGUGAGAUGCACGGACUAAAGUUAUUGAAUGACUACGUCCCCCCUCCUCCCACACUCCAACCCCGCCUUUUUUUUCCUUAUUUAUUUUCUUCUUUCUUCUUUUUUACUAUUUUUUUCUUAUAUUAUUAUUAUUGCUAUUAUUACUAUUACCACUACUAUAUUUAAUUAUUACUAUUAUUUAUUUAAAAUUCAAAUUAAAUAUAUUCAACUAUAUUUUAUAAUAUUUGAGAGGAUAUAUUCUUAUGAAAUAGUUAGAAUUGAUUUAGAACUCUUUUAAGUCUCAAGCCAUGAGUUUCAUAGUGCUAGUCUGCUCCUUGUGAGGAUGCUAACUUGAAGGGGCUGAAGUUUGAUGCAGAGCUUUUUGUUUGUUAAGUUAUAGAAGGACCGAGCAACAUUCUACAACUCCAGUCCUUCAAAAGUGGACUAAGUAGUCCUCAAGGAGUCCGUUUAUUCCCUCCAUUUGAACUUUCAAAGAUACACCGACCGUAGGUAUUUCAGAAAUUUCGCUUAGUUCAAAUUAUGUGUUUCUUAAAGAUAAAUACCACUUAGGAGCUUCCUAGUUAUUGCAUACAAAUCUACUCAAGUCCACCUUAUGCAUGCCACAUCUUAAUUGGUGAAAGAGCCUACAACUGUUCAGUAUGCGUACCAAUGGGGGCAAAAGUCAUGAUACAUGAUUAUUUUGAUAUUUCAAAGUCUCCUUGAAGGACUUUUGACAAUGACUCAUUUCUACUUACUUUAAUCUAUCAAUAAAUACCCUUUAGUCUCUCCAUAUUAACUCAAAACAUUCAUCUCGCAGAAAAUGACAAGUUGUGUUGCAGCAGUGCAAAGGACAUUAGCUACUUCAGCAAAUCCUGCAUCCCAAACUCAGCCUGAUGAAUCAAAACAAAUCCCAAAUCCUGAAAAAAAAAAAACAACCAUUUCCCUUCCAAAUUACAUGUUCAUUUCGCAUCCCUUCCAUUCUUGAAUCAGCAACAUCGCUAAUCAUAGAAGACUUGAGCAAAUUUGGGCUAUACUAUGUUGAAUUCAUGUGGAUAGUCCUUUUCAUCGCACUUAUUCCUGAACGUAAAGUUCCGUUAGUCUGUUUAGUUGCCAUGAAAGGAGGUGGCAAUUUUGUACUUGCUAUUUCUUCGUUCAGUGGCCAAUUCUGUUCUGUUUCUUUGGCUUAUCGCAUUCGAUACAAGGCCUAUUGUUCUGCCACUGCUAGCAAUUGGGACAUGUUGUGCUCUUAUUAUCACUGGUGCUGGAAUCCAUCUUUUAAUUACUUUGGCUCUAACUUUUCCAAUUGUUUUGGCUCAUAUAGUACUGUGUAUAGCAGAUGAUUGUUCUUUCAAUGAGGAAAUUAGUCAAGAAUCUGUAUCCCUUGAUAAUACUGUGUAAAAUUAGGCCAAUUUUGUUUGGUGAUUUGUUGCAAUAAAGUCAAGGAUGUUGAGUUUGUCUCAACUUAUAUUUCUUCAGCUACUUCAAUUAUGAUUUUUAAUUUAAUAUUUACAAAGCAGCUUUGAUUAUAAUUCUACAACUGCUUCUACGUCUAAUAAUUAAUAAUUUAAAAAUUUUAAAAUACAUACAAAAAAUUUAUUUGCAUCACAAAAAUUGAGAUAAUUAAAUUAUCUGUUCGGCCAUAUGAGCACGGGGUCAUGAUUAGUAUAUAUACAAAUUUUUGAAUCUCCUGCAUAGAAGACUAAAAGUUAACUUAGAAGUUAAGAGGUUUCAAAAUACACUUGAAUAUUUUUGGCUUACAUACUAGAUACAAGAAAAAUAAGUCAUAAAAACUCAGGUCGACAUCUUAUCUUGUACACAACAAAAGUUCACAGAAAAUCAAGAACCCCUGAAGCUCAAAAAAAACCCUACAACUCCCCCAAAAACAUGCUUCUACAGCCCACCACCACCGUUAAACCCCCACAUCAAAAAUCUGAAACCCAUGCCUCUUUUUCAUCGUCCCUCUCUUAUUCACUCUCUUUCCCAUCUGGGUUUUGCAAUUUGGGUGGUUUUACUAAACCCCUGAUGUGCCCAAAGAAUCAUUCGCAGGUGCAUAGCUAUGGGACUGUUGAUUACGAGAGACGGCCGAUAGUGAAAUUGAAUGCUAUUUACAAAAGAAUAUCUAUGAAUGAUGGCCCCCAAAAAGGCUCUGUUAGUGUGCUGAAUCAAUGACAGAAUGAGGGGAAAAAAGUUACAAAACGGGAGCUUUGUAGGGUCAUUAAGGAGCUAAGGAAGUCUAAGCGUUAUAACCUGGCUCUUGAGGUACCAAAUCAAUUAAAGUUUGAAUCAUUUUGUGGGGUUUUAUCUUAUUAUUGGUUGAAUUUGUACGUUGAACCAUUUAAUUUGAGUUUGCUAAGUUGAUUUGUUAUUAUUUGUGUUCUCUCUGUUGUUUUGCUUGGAUUCUUAGCUUUGGUAUAAGAUAGUUCAAAUUAUGAAGAUAGAUGGAAUUAAACAUCUGAAACAUGCUGUCGUGUACCACAACUGUGCAUUUCCCUACAAUUUCCAAUUUAAUAGAAGUUCUAGUCAAUGGCAUUAAGAAACUUAUAUUUACAAAACUUUGGACAUAAGUGAAAAUUACCAUCCUCCUAACUAUGUAACGAGCACGAGUGGCCCAAAAUUGUACUGAUCAUUGUGCAAUGUGCACUAUGUUUUUGUCUAUUUGGUGACUAAGUGAGAAUAAUGAUCUAAAAGAAUUCAAAUUCUGGACAUGUUUAUCACUCUGUCUGAACCAAGUGCAGAAGUCUGAAAGUUGUUGAAUGAGCAUCAAUGGACUUCUUGUGGUCAAGACUUGCCAGCUAGACUGAAUAGAAAUUUAAAUUGGUAUACUAGAGAAAUAUGCAAUUUUUCUGUUAGUCCUAUGAUAAAAACUUGAUUAAUCAUUCUUGUAUUGGAUUCUUGAUUCCAUUACUCGUUUAACUCAUUGAGUUUACUGUAUUUCUCCAUGUAAUGUAAUUCCAUUGGGGCUUGACUUAACCUUGUAUCCUUCAGUUGCAUGAGUGGAUGAACAAUGGAGCAGAGAGGUUUAGAAUAACCACCAGUGAUACUGCUAUUCAUUUAGACCUGAUAGCAAAAGUACAUGGAAUAUCAAGUGCUGAAGAAUACUUCAUAAAGUUGCCAGACACCUUAAAUGAUAAGCGGAUAUAUGGGUCUCUUUUAAAUGCGUUUGUGCGGUCUAGAAAGAAGGAACAAGCUGAAUCUUUACUUGAGAAAAUGAGAAACAGAGGCUACACUGAUCAUGCUCUUCCGUUCAAUGUGAUGAUGACACUCUAUAUGAACCUUAAAGACUACGACAAGGUUGAGUCAGUUGUUUCAGAAAUGAAAGAGAAACAAAUUCCAUUAGAUAUAUAUUCGUACAAUAUCUGGUUGUCAUCUUGUGGAUCUCAAGGAUCUAUAGAAAAAAUGGAAAAAGUACUUGAACAAAUGAAUCUGGACGCUGAUAUCAAUCCAAAUUGGACUACAUUUAGCACUAUGGCUACUAUGUACAUUAAGUUGGGGCAGUUGGAAAAAGCUGAAGAUUCUUUAAGAAAUGUUGAGAGCAGAAUCACAGGUCGUGAUCGAAUUCCAUAUCAUUAUCUCAUCAGUCUCUAUGGUAGUCUUGGUAAAAAGGAAGAGGUUCUCCGGAUCUGGAAAACCUACCAAUCGCAGUUUUCAAAUAUUCCAAACCUGGGUUAUCAUUCUGUAAUAUCUUCUCUGGUGAGGUUGGAUGAUAUUGAAGGUGCAGAAAAGAUGUAUGAUGAGUGGCUACCCAUUAAGGUGCACUAUGAUCCUAGAAUAGGAAAUCUGUUGUUGGAUUAUUAUGUGAGGAAGGGUUUUCUGGACAAGUCUAGUGCUUUCUUCGACCAAAUGAUUGAAGCUGNUUUUGUCUAUUUGGUGACUAAGUGAGAAUAAUGAUCUAAAAGAAUUCAAAUUCUGGACAUGUUUAUCACUCUGUCUGAACCAAGUGCAGAAGUCUGAAAGUUGUUGAAUGAGCAUCAAUGGACUUCUUGUGGUCAAUACUUGCCAGCUAGACUGAAUAGAAAUUUAAAUUGGUAUACUAGAGAAAUAUGCAAUUUUUCUGUUAGUCCUAUGAUAAAAACUUGAUUAAUCAUUCUUGUAUUGGAUUCUUGAUUCCAUUACUCGUUUAACUCAUUGAGUUUACUGUAUUUCUCCAUGUAAUGUAAUUCCAUUGGGGCUUGACUUAACCUUGUAUCCUUCAGGUGUAUGAGUGGAUGAACAAUAGAGCAGAGAGGUUUAGAAUAACCACCAGUGAUACUGCUAUUCAAUUAGACCUGAUAGCAAAAGUACAUGGAAUAUCAAGUGCUGAAGAAUACUUCAUAAAGUUGCCAGACACCUUAAAAGAUAAGCGGAUAUAUGGGUCUCUUUUAAAUGCGUUUGUGCGGUCUAGAAAGAAGGAACAAGCUGAAUCUUUACUUGAGAAAAUGAGAAACAGAGGCUACACUGAUCAUGCUCUUCCGUUCAAUGUGAUGAUGACACUCUAU